ensembl:lncRNA HPS1-AS1 HPS1 antisense RNA 1
GGGAAGAGAACCUCGCCGGUGUCACACUGAGACUUCCGCUUCACCUCGCUAUCUUGCCCUAGAAAGGGAACUCGGAGGGGACUCACUGACGAAAGGAGCUCCAGAUGGCGGGGGGCCAACCUGGGGCGACCCCCAGCGCCCACUUUCACCAUCUGGACCCCAGCAAACCUCCCUGUGGCCCUUGGUCCCGUCUUCAGCAGCUCCUUCUGGGGUCCCACACCUUCGGAGCCCGGCCCUGCCCCUGAGUCUCUGGAGAGAGCGAGUCAGCAGUUCGCCGCCGCGGGGCUCCCGUUUGCCUAGCACGCCAGUUUCUGUCCAGUUUCACCCCAAAUCCCCACCUCCCCCCACCCCCGAACCUCACGGCCACCCUGGGAAGGAGGCUUGACUUGUGACAUCCACCCCUCUUCACGGCUGAGGAACUUUGGCCCCGAGCGAGGAAGCGACCGGCCCACGGCCACACGCCCGGAGUGGGUAAAUAUCUACUCAUGGGAUUGCUGGGCUGUAUGGGGAAUUCCUUCAGGAGAAAAGCCAAAUAAAUGUGGAUAUCACCCAGUGUGAUUUUCUUCAUUCAAGAGCUAUAUCUCCUGCAGUUUCUGCCUGCUCUUAGCUGUUCUGCAUUGCCUUCAAAGAAUUGUUUUUUCAAAUUUUGUCUAAGGGGGCAGCAUCUUCUACUAUGUGCAUCUACAUUGGAUGGCAGUGGAGCAACACAGAUUGUUUUCUGACAAAAAUCAGCCAAGUACUAGGAGAGGCAGGACUUUAGAAGUGGAGGAGAUGGAGAAGGAAGCUUAGGUUACUAUGGAGUGUGCAAAAAGGUCCUGUGGAUUUAGAUACCACCACACACAAAUGGUAUGUAAUACUCACUUGAAGACAAAUCAGCCAGAGGGAUCUAACAGCAUUGACCCAUUCUCUGGUCUUCUAGCAUCCAUCAUAGUUUUGUGCUCCUUUUCCAUGAAACACAGCUGUUGUUGGAAGGUACCUGCCCAGAUAAGGACUGCAUUUCCUCUAGCAUCCAGAUGGGACCAAAUGACUGCUGGCCAAUAGAAGUGAGUGGAAAGGACUGACUCCAGUUCCAGGUUGGGCCUCCAACUGCUCUGGGCACGUCGAUGGAACAGAACACCACCUCCACCCCAAUACCACCAAUUCAACUUUACAUGAAUUAUAAGCGAGAAAUAACUUGGACUGUGUUAAGUCAUUGAGUUUCUGGGGUUUAACUGUUAUUAUAGUUAAGAAUGACUUUAACUAAUAUAGUCAAUGACAUCUAACUG